rnacentral:rRNA from 1 species
AGCGAACGCUGGCGGCAGGCCUAAUACAUGCAAGUCGAGCGCACCUUCGGGUGAGCGGCGGACGGGUGAGUAACGCGUGGGAACGUGCCCUUUGGUACGGGAUAACUGAGGGAAACUUCAGCUAAUACCGUAUGUGCCCUACGGGGGAAAGAUUUAUCGCCAUUGGAGCGGCCCGCGUUGGAUUAGCUAGUUGGUGAGGUAAAGGCUCACCAAGGCUACGAUCCAUAGCUGGUCUGAGAGGAUGAUCAGCCACACUGGGACUGAGACACGGCCCAGACUCCUACGGGAGGCAGCAGUAGGGAAUCUUGCGCAAUGGGCGAAAGCCUGACGCAGCCAUGCCGCGUGAAUGAUGAAGGUCUUAGGAUUGUAAAAUUCUUUCACCGGGGAAGAUAAUGACGGUACCCGGAGAAGAAGCCCCGGCUAACUUCGUGCCAGCCGCCGCGGUAACAC